UACGUAGGGUGCGAGCGUUAAUCGGAAUUACUGGGCGUAAAGCGUGCGCAGGCGGUUUUGUAAGCCAGAUGUGAAAGCCCCGGGCUUAACCUGGGAAUGGCAUUUGGGACUGCAAGGCUGGAGUGUGGCAGAGGAGACUGGAAUUCCUGGUGUAGCAGUGAAAUGCGUAGAUAUCAGGAGGAAUACCGAUGGCGAAGGCAGGUCUCUGGGGCUAACACUGACGCUCAUGCACGAAAGCGUGGGGGAGCAAACAGGG
rnacentral:rRNA from 1 species